UUAAUGGUUAGGAAAAGGAUGGGGAAGACGUGGGUGUUUGUCACACAGAGUAGUGUUAGCCCUCUAAUAGCACAACCCAAAUCAGUAAAGAAAUCAACAUUAUCUAUAUUUCCGCAUUGACCCAUAUAUAUAUAUAUAUAUACAUAUAUACCAUGUUCUUAUAUAUAUAAUUAGCCAUUUCCCCUGCUUCUCACAGAAGCAAAAUGGCCUUGCUUUAACUAUUACAAAUCAGGACCAUUUAUCACCCCCAAAAAUGCCUUAAGCAUUUUCUUUUAAUAGAGAAAAUCUCAAAACCGCUAAGGAUUUUUUUCCUUCUUUGCACUAAUGCUGAGAUUGUGUUGCACUUUGUUAAAAGAGAGAAAGCUUUCGAGGAGAAGAAGAGACCCUUAUAUAGUAAUAAGGGGCGGCUUUUCAGGGACCUUUAUUAUGGGGUUUUUUUGUGGGGGGGAAGAGACCGUUCUGUGCGGAAUAAUAAUGGAAGUGAUUGGCUUUUGUUUGCAUGCAGCCUUGGUGCGGAAGGAAGGGCCCCGAUUCAGGCCGAGCUCGAGCGAAGCGUUAGGUUCUCCGUAUCUUUUCCCGGAUGGGAAUUUCCCAAGAAAACCAGGUGCGCCACGGCUCAAAUUUAUGUUAACCCCAAAUGCGAUUUUUAACCCUUUCUUCUUCGUUCGUUCUGAUUUCUAUCUUGCGACCCGUACACGGUCAGCCUUCUUUCCUCCUCGGUCCGACUUUCCUAUUUAAAGACAAAAGAAACUAUAGAUCUAUUUAUAUAUAUAUUUUUCAGCGGGAAUUUUAUUUAAGUUCAGAGAAACACUUUAAAAGCGAUUGUCGUUGGGAUUUUAUUUUUGAAACAAAAAAAAAGAAUAUAAAUAUAUAUCUCUCUUCUCGCUAUAUAUAUUUUUUAAAAAGGAGCGUUCUGUUCUAGUUUUGUCCCAUGUGAGAUGAGGUCCUUCUAGUUCGGUCUCCCCUUUUUAAUCCUAUGGAGAAUAUAUUAAUUAAGAUGCCGUAUUGAUGCUGUUUUUCUAAGAUAUAGGUAUAGAUAUAUAUAUAUAGAUAGAUAUAAUACUUUAUUCUUGUCCCAGAAACCAAAUCGGUCAAGGAAGAAUAAGAGAUUUUUUUAUCAGAUGGGGGCCAUUUUUUCUUCUUACAUGAUGAUAAUGACUAUUAUUGCUACUCUUAGUGUUGUUCUUUAUUUUAUUAAUAAUAAAAAAAUAAAACAAGGAUAUAACCUUAUCCAGAGCACUCUAAAAAGAAAUCCAUUCUUCUUUGAAAACGAGCAAAAACCUUAAAUGGCUGAUUUACUGUUUAUUCAGGUGACGAGGAAAGCACAGAUGAGACAUUCCAUAGAUUGUAUGUUUGAUAAUAAUUCUUUAUUGUGGGGGAUUCAUUAAAUAAAAGAAGUUGGGAGAUAAGUACAGACGAUAUUAGAAUAUAUAUAUAUAUAAAUAUAUAAAAUGCACUUUUUUGCGGGGAGGGGGCUUAAAAUGAAUAUAUAUAUAUAUUAAAACAAUAGAAUGAUGGAAUUCCUCUCUCAUUCUUGUAUAUAAGACCCUCUUUUUUAAAAAAAAUCCUAAUGUUUGAUAGCAUCGUUUAUUUUUUCCUUUUUUCUUAAAUCUUGUUUGGUUUGGUUGGUUUUUCUUUUCUUUCCUUUUUCUUUUGUUUUUUUUUUUUUUUGAAAGAGAGGACACAAUGCAAAACGGCUAGGAUCCAAAGCACUAUUUCGGAGGAGAAUGGGAUUUUAUUUUUUGAAUCGUUAUCGAUUGAUUUUUCCAGACCCGAAUCUUGUUGUUAAUCCCAACUAGAAUAAGUGUACAGUGAUGUGUUGACUCGCCUAUUCGCUGACGUUUCUAUGAGGUUGACUCUUCUUUCAGGAUCCCAUAUUCUCCUUCUAGACUGAGGUUGUUUUCCCCUCCUUUUCCCAACAUCAUCUCUUUAAGGCAGGUCCAUUCUGUCGUUUCAUUUCAAAAUGACCCAGGAAAAGGGGUCGCUAACCACUCGUAAUACGUGAUUCGGCCCUUCUUUAGACUCGUUGCUUUUUGGUUCAACCCUCCCAUUUGGUGCUAAAUGCGAUCCUUCCUGACCCAAAAAGAGAUAUAUAUUUAUUUAUAGUAUUUAUACCCCACCCCUCUCAUCCUGAAGGGGAUUCAGAGCAGCUUUAAGAACACACAUACGACAAACAUUCAAUGCUGAUUAUAUAAUUAACAAGGACAGACAACACAAACAGAGGUGAAUGCAAUUUUUCCACUCUUAUUUCUAGCAUCUUGAAGGCUGUACUUGAUUCCAACCACCGGGCUGGGGGUGGGGUGUGUGUGCUGUCGCUCCAUCUUCCAUGCCGAAGAGCUUUCCUCCGAUCGAUGUCCUUAAGGGCGCCUUUAUUAUCUACCCCCUAAAAGCAGUACCUUAUUUUAUCUACUCGCAUUUCUGUUUUCGACCUGCUAGGUGGGCAAGUGAGCUGGGGCUAAUGGUGGGUGCUCACCCCAACCCGGGCUUGAACUGCUGAUCUUCCGAUCGGCAGGAUGUUUCUGCAGCAUAGCGGUUUAGCCUGCUGUGAUAAGCCCGCCCCCUCGGGAAGUAUUGUGUGCUACUUCCCCUUCUUUACAAAAUAAUCCAUCCAAAGGAACCUGUCAUUAUUCACAUUGACCCCUCUUUUAGAAAUAGUCUUUUCCAAGGGACCGGUCACCGUUCAUAUUGAUUUUUCUUUGAAAAAUAACUCUAUCUGAAGGACCAGUCAUCAGUCAUACUGAUUCCUUUCAAAAUAAUGUAUCCAAAGGGACUGGUCACCAUUCAUAGUGAUUUCUCGUGUCAGCCAUCUCUCUCUUCUUUCGGUCUUCCAAAAAGGAUGAAAACGAGCCGCCCUUAUAUCGGACAUUAUUGUUUCUGAAACCUGAACCAAGCCAUGAGGUUUUUCCUGUCCCCGCUCCAGGGAGCGCAAACAGGAAGAAGGAAGCCAUGUUUUCCCCCUUUAAAAAAACCCACUGUGCCUCGUCACUCUGACUCGCUCCCUUUUGAUGAUUUGUUUAUACGGGAACUGAAUGAGUUCCCAUCUGGAAACCCCAAACUUCCUGCACCUUCACACCUCCCCCCCCCCCAAAAAAAAGCUACAAAUAUAUAUCUUCAGGGUGUUUUGAUAAAAAAAAAUUGCAGAAACGACAACGGCUCUCCUUGUCUGUAUGUGUUUCUUUCCCGAGAGAGAACCGAUUCUCAAUGGUGCCUUUGCGUCGGAGAAGAUCGGAUGGUACAGAUCAAUACAGGACAAUUCCCUCCUGCAAUUCUGAAUUAAUCUGGGAUUUAAUAGGAGAAUUCCCUUAUUUACUAAAAUACAACAAUUUUAUUUCUCCCUUUAAUAGGAGAAUCUCCCUUCUUACCAAACGCAUCCUGACCUCCGAACCAGAAACGAAUGAGUCUCACUGUCUCCCAAAAGGAGAAAUAGACUUUGUAUUUUUUUGUCCAAAAAGAGCCUUAGGACUUUCUCUUAUUAUUGUUGCCCCAAAUUGAAUGGGUUUCUUGGCCAAACUCAGCAGGAACUUCUUUCGAAACCGAAUUCACCCUUUUCAGACAUUUAAUCCCACUGUUUUCUGUAUUCCUUCAAUAAUAAUAGUAAUAAUAAUAAUAAUAUACUUUAUAUUCCACUCUAUCUCCCCAAGGGGACGCAGGACGGAUUACAGAACACAUAAACGGCAGACAUUGAAUGCCAUUAUACAAUUAACAAGGACAGGCGAUACAUAAACAGGUAUAGGCUUUCCCGUUUUUUUUUUUUUUCCAUCUCUGGCAUCUGGAGGCUGUGCUCAACUCCGGCCACAGGGAGGUGCUAUUGCUCCAUCUUCCAUGCAGAGGAGCUUUCUUGUCCGUCUUCCCGAUUGAAUUGCCGGUAUGUCCUUAUGGGCGCCUUUUAUUACCUCCCCGCUUAAUGCGGUGCCUAUUUAUCGACUCACAUUGCAGUUUUCAAUCUGCUAGGUGGGUAGAAGCUGGGCUGAUGGCGGGAACUCACCCCGACCCGAGCUUUAACUGCCAACCUUUCAAUCAGCAAGAUUUUCUACAGCUGGCAGUUAACCCACUGUGCUAAAGCCCAGCCCGAUGCUCACUUCUUCCCAAAUACUUUUAUUUUUCUCUUUAUCUCUCUCUCGAAAAAGCCAUUUUAUCCCAAGAUGGUGAUGGAUAGGAUGGAUCAGGUUCUCUCUUUGCGGCUGGGAAAUAAAUUUCCACGUCUCUUUCGUUCGUUCGUUUGUUCUUUCUUCGUAGCGAUGAAUAAUUUCCCGGCCAUUUCUUAACAUCCUGUUUCCUUUGAACAAAGUUUAAUUCAGGGUUAGGAUUUUGGGGGCUUUUGGGGGAUGCUUUUUGGGAUUCUCUUUAUGGGGAAAACAAUAACUUUCUGGGUUUUGUUCGUAGGCAAACUUUUCAGACUCUGGGGCGAGAGGAAAGAGGCCAACACGCUUCUCCUUUCUCUCUUCCCUGGGAUAUUCUUGCAUUUGUUGAAACAGAAGAAUUGUUCUUUUUUAAAACACAACAAUAUGAUUAUUCUUAAAGCAGCAAAAGCUACUUCGAUUUCCUUCUGUUGUUCAGGAUUGGUUGUGGACUAAAAUUGAAUCAGUUGUAUGUUCUUUUAUUUUCUUUUUUUCUUCCUUCCUUCCUUCCAUAUAUUGUACUGUAAUAGAGAACUGUUAAUUUUUUGCACUAAUAGAUUUCUUUUUCUCUCU